ensembl:Y_RNA Y_RNA Y RNA
GGCUGGUCCAAAGAUAGUGAGUUAUCUCAAUUGAUUGUUCACAGUUACAGAUCGAACUCAUUCUACUCUUUCUCCCUUCUCAUUACUGCACUUGACUAGUCUUUA